UACAUGAUGAAACAUGAUCUAUGUGGGC
rnacentral:piRNA from 1 species